rnacentral:lncRNA from 1 species
UAAAUAUCUACAUCUUAAGAUCUUGCCUGGCUGGCAAAGCCACCUGUCUUUGUGCUCUUGUUAAAUAGUUCACACAAGAGCUUCCAUUGGUGGCUGCUUUGUGACAGAAGGAAAUGAAUUGGUGUGUUCCUCUGAAAUCCCUCUGGGCUGGUGCAGAUGCUGUAGGCUGACUGGUAGCUCCAGCACACAGGUUGGCUGGGGCCGAAAAUGCCAUUUUAACUCUAAGCUGCUUUCACAAGUACUGCUGUGAAGAGGAAUCACCAUGAUAUCAUGGCCUUACAGGGUCCUUCAAACAAAUACUUUAGUGUGACAAUAAUGUAAUCACAGACUUCCUUAAGGAAAUUCCUUGGCUGAAGUGCUGUGGCAUUCAGUUUAGUCAGUUUAGUACAGACCAUAUUGAUCUAAAGACAAAAAAAUAAUGUACUUCAGAUGUAGGUAUAGAAGGAGACAAAGCAAUAAAGUGAAAGUACGCACCA